GGAAUGCCUGAAGGCUUGCAAAGGUUGCUGGGUUGGUGUGCUCCACGCUCUCACACGCUCAGUUCGCGCGCUCUCUUUGAACGUGGUGGUUGUAUCGUUGUGCCAUGUGCUCAUGAGUUCCAGGGUGAGCGUUGGUCAGCUCCAGGUGAACGUUUUUGUCAUGCGCUUUGGAGCUCCAUUUCUGCGGCGCCUGUACGUCUUACGCCUAUCAAGAGCCAUGCUGUGUUCCUGCCAUGAGCCUGGUGUCACUUUGAGUCGACAUCAUUCUUCGUUGAUGACCAGCACAGAAACAAGCCCACGGAAAUCUGCUAACCUUCUUAGUACCUCUGGUCUCAGCAAUGUAUUUUCUUGUUUGCGACCACUGGAACCGAUCCUUCAGGAUUACUAGUAAAUUGUGUAGCGUACCCCGGAUCUCUUCUGUUCUGCAUCUGAAACUAUGGACGAAAGACUUCACCCAGCGUGUGGCGACUUCCUUAUGGGCUGAUAUACCUGUGAACUCUGGGUUACUUUUUGUCUCUGGGACUGUUCAAGCAAGCCCACAGAAAUGCCCCACUAAAUUUCUUAGUACACGUGAACUGCAAUGUAGUUGUCUUCGACCGCUGAGCCAGCCUGCAGUGAGCCUUAGUAAAAUGUUUAGUCGCCAAGAUACCUGCAAUCUUUUCACAAGUAUUUGUAUCUGCUGCCAUGGAAGAACAGCCACGCUCUGCCUCUGGUAACUUCCAUCGAGGCUGUCUGACACCCGUGAAUUUUUAGGAUGAAAUUGUGUUUUUGUGUGGCCGCUGAAGCAAGCCCACACAAAUCCUCUAUUAGCUUUUCAUAUGAGUGAACUCAUAUAAUGCUGAAGCGAUCAUGCUGCAAGCUUUUAGUUAAUUGUGUAAUCGCCAGGGUACCUGUGACGUUUCAGCAAUAUUUGGCUGUGGCCACGGAGAGGUCACAUUCAGCUUCUGUUUACUUGCUUAGAGGCCUUCAAGCCUCUAAGCAAGUAAACAGAAGCAGAAGAAACAGAAACACAAAUUCACUUAUGGUGAAUUUAUGUUUGUGACCACUCAAGUGCAGCAAGUGUCUUGUAACUCUAGUACUUGUGACAUCAGUUUGGUAUUGUGUUGAAGCAAGUGUCUUGUAACUGCUUUUGUAUCUGUGAACUCUCCAGUAAUGUUCGUGUUUGCAACUGCUUAAGUGAUCCUUGAGUAAUUUUUUUAAUGCCCAGUGUGUCUAUAAAAUAUGUAGUACUUCUACUGUGUGCAACCGCUGAAGGAGGCCUGCAGAAAGUGGAGUAGCUUCCGUCAUGGCUAAGACACCUCUGAACUUUCCAGUAAAUAUUGUAUUUAUGGGCCCGCGACCGUUGAAGUGAGCCAGCCCACAGUAGCCCUCCUACUAACUUCCUUUGUACCCCCCACCCUUGCAUAGGGCUUUUGAAGUUCUUUUACUGGCCGAGGUGCAUCUGCGAAUUAUUAGCUCAACUGAAAUGGUCUUGUCACUACACACGAAAGUGUCGAUGUUUGCUCUGGUUACCUUUGCCAGAACUUGUUAUGGAUGCACAGUGCAUUUGCUCUACACUCUAAGAACAGUUGCACCCUUUGGGGUGUAAAUUUGCGACAGAACAAUAAUCGUCAUCUGUCUUACUUGCCUUUCCUUUCUUGAAAACCCUGCGCUCAUUACUUUCCUGUCGAGAAUGCUCUGUCAUGCUGAUAAUGCGCAUGCCGUUCGUGACAUGGAAGUACUGGGCUUGCAGCGUUAAAGAAAGGAAAUGCAGGCAAGUCAGAUGACGAUUAUUGUUCUGUGGAAAAUAUACACCCCAAAGGGUGCAACUGUUUUUAGAGUGUAAAUGGAUGAUCAUACAGCAGCUGUUUGUCUAUAUAUGACCACUGAACUAGCCUCGAGUAAUUUUGUUAAUUGCCUAAUGUAGUUGUGACAUCUUAAUUUAGCAUACCUCGUGUUUGUGUAUGUAACUACUGAAUAUGGCCUAGGGAAAGGCUCUGGCAACUUAAAGUGGCUAACAUAUCUAAACAUUUCAGCAAAUUUUUCAUUGAUGUGCCUGCGACCACGACAGUGAGCCCACAGCAAGCCUUGUGAUAAGUUCCAUAGUGGCCCCACUGCGAAUUCUUAAAUUUUCUUGCUACCCAAAGUGCAUUUGUAAAGAGUUUGAAUAAUGUGCACGUUUACUAACCAUGGUGCGGUAUAAAUAACUCCUAAUAGCUGAACUUGUAUGAUGAAAUUAUCGAGUUUUAUUUGCAUUGAUGGGUUUUACUAAAAACUGUUAGUGCAUUUUAGAGUUCAACGAGUGAUCUUCCUGCAACUGUUCUAUUGAAAUAAAUGCUGUAUUUUUAAUGA